rnacentral:piRNA from 1 species
UGGGUGACAAAUGUGCCUCAGGUUGU